GGAAAGUUUGCAAAGGUGCAAAGGUAUUUUAUUAUCUGAAGAAUUCAUGGUGUAUUCUAAGAAGAAUUAUGUUACGAAUACAGCAUAAUUAAUGGGCGAAAACGUCCAUCGUCAGCUGGAGAAAAGGUUACCCAUAACCGAACCGCCAAUAUUGAUAGUAUUUUCGCCUGUUACCAUCCCAGAAGAACUACCCCCAAUGUUGAUUCCGCCCGUGCUGGCCGCAUGCGAACUUCCGCCGAUGUUAACUGCGCUGCCACUUGAUGAACUUCCUCCUUGGAAUGAACCUCCGCCGAUGUUAAUUGAACUGGCAGCUGAUGAACUGCUGGAAGCCGAUGAACUGCUGGAAGCCGACGAACUGCUGGAUGCCGACGAACUGCUGGAUGCCGAUGAACUUCCGACCUGUGCGAUGGCAGCCGACGAACUUGCGGCGGCGGAAUUACUUCCCAAUAUAGCUGCACCAGCAUGAAUUCCAACUGUGCUGAUUCCGGGCAAAUUUCCUCCAAGAUGACCUAUUCCAGUUCCAGUUUGGUCGACUCCAUUAUAACCGCUGGCGCCUCCAGAUGAACCUCCGGCAUUAACAACACCUCCAAUGUUGGCCGAUUGUCCUCCAAUAUUUACGAAAUUUCCUGUUUGCGAACUUCCUUCACUGCUGAUUGUACUGCCAGUUGAAGAUCCUCCUUGAUAAGAGCUUCCGCCAACGUUAAUGGUACCGGAACCCAAAGAACCUCCAACGUGAUUAACGCCGACUCCUGACGUACUAGCAUGAUUUAUUACUGCGCUGGAAGAUCCUGCUGCCGCAAAAUUACUGCCACUCCCAGACGAAGUAAUGCCAAAGUUGUUUCCACUUUGGCUGACUCCGUUUAAAUUUCCUCCUGAAUAUCCUGCGCCAACUUGAGUUUGACCUAAUCCAGCAUAACCGAUGCCACCUGUAGUGAUAAUACUUUCAGUGGUUGCGGAUUCUCCACUAGUUCCCAUGUACUCACCUGAUUGCGAGUUUCCGCCAGUGUUAAUUGUAUUGCCGCUUAGAGAUCCUCCUUGGUAAGAGCCUCCGCCAGCGCCAAUUCCUGAGGUACCUACGUUCACCUGAUUUGCAAGAUUGGCCGAAGAACUUGCGGCUGCGAAAUUACUGUUUGACGUAGCUGUGCCGAUGUUAACUCCACCUUGGUUGAUUCCAGACAAGCUUCCGCCAGGGUAAGGUGCACCGGAUUGAGACUGUCCGAAUCCAUUAUAGCCAUUGCCACUUCCGGACAAGGCAGUUACACCGAUGCUUGAAGAUCCGCCCAGGUUUACAUGACCUCCACCUGUGUUGAUUGGACCGGCGCUUGAAUAACUUCCUCCUCCGUAAGAGCUUCCAUCAAUGUUAAUUGUACCGGAUCCCAAAGAACCUCCAACCUGAUUGCUGCCGAUUCCAGACGUACCUGAACCCGCAAUGUUAGACGAACCUGCUGCUGCGUAAUUACUGCCAGAUGAAGCUGUUCCUAUAUUAAAUCCACCUGUGUUGAUUCCGAGAGUUCCUCCUCCGAGAUAAGCUCCACCGCUUUCGGAUUGGCCGAAUCCGUUAAAUCCGCCUCCAUAAAAAUUGCCUGUGGGAGCAAGUCCUCCCGCGUUAGCCGCUCCAAUAUUGCCGUAAUUCCCUGCCGCCGAACUUCCGCCAAUGUUAAUCACGCUGCCACUUGAUGAACCUUCUCCUUCGUAAGUGCUUCCACCAACAUUAAUUGUACCAGAUCCCAAAGAACCUCCGUUGUUAGCAGCUCCGAUUCCAGACGUACUUACACCGGCAUGAUUUGCUACACUGCUUGAAGAUCCAGCUGCUGAAUAACUACUUCCACUUCCGGAAGAAGCCGUGCCAAUAUUAACUCCGCCCUGAUUGAUUCCGGAGUUGACCGGUCCACAGGGAUAAUUUAGCCCGACUGGAGACUGACCUAUUCCAGCAUUUCCGCUUCCAGCCGAACCUCCUGCGCUACUAGAUUGCCCUCCGAACAUGACAUAACCUCCGCCGACAUUCAAACCUCCACUGUAACUAAAACCGCCAUUGUUAGGAUAAAUUGGCAUGCAGUAAUAUGCUACUCCGCCGUUAGUUGAAAUCGCGGCGUUAUUUGAAAUUCCGGCGCCAUUGGAAAUUCCGCCGUUAUUGACGAAUCCGCCGCUGUUGAAAUACCCUCGAUUUGUCUGGCCGACGAUGUCAGGUUCAUCGGAAGAAACAGCAGGGAGCGCCAUAGCGUCCGAUUUCGGAAGGCAGUUCUUAUCUUGAAGAAUACAGCAAGGGCAAUGAUGAAAUGAAGCCACCUUCUUGCGCUUUUAUAGGUUCAGAGAAUUCCAUAUGACUUGGUUCUCGUCCUAAAUCAACCCUCAUCAUGAAAGUUUCUGUGUCACGUCACAGAAGAGAAAGGGCAACUUUCCCCGCAAAGAAAAAACGGAAUUGAGGAAGGUCAGCUCCUACAUAUCUGGCCCAUCAACCCGGAAGAAGGAUGGCAGGCUAGAAACAAUCUAACAGGUCAUUGACCAUCGAUACUCGUUCAUAGGGCUGCAAGGAAGGAAAAAGAAAGACCACUGAAUGGUAAAAAAAGACGUAGAUGUUUUCGAGCGGAGAUGAACAAUUGAAGGUAAUUCAAGCAAAGCGCCAAGUAUACCAAACCAAGUACGAAUAUAGUUUAUCGACGGUCAAGUACUGCAGACAGGCGAAAUUAGAUGUUAUUCAUGUGAAUACGCGGAUGCUUGAUUUACAUCAAAAGCUUUUCAUUUGUUAAUAAUAACCAUUCUUCAUUAAUUAAGAACGAAAAAAGCCAAUUUUCUGAUAGCGAUUCUGUAUUUUAUUCACCUUGAAUAUCUCUUGGUCAAUUGCUUCACUACUACUUAUUGAGAUCACGUUUAGGGUUAGAUGAGGUAAAUUCAAGAUUCCGGAAAUCAGUGCAAACUUGGAAACAUUUGCUUAACGCGCAUUUGGAUUAUUGAAUGGAUAUGGGCCGCCUUACCCGUGGCGUUCGUAGCGGACGUUUGAUGAACCCUCCCAGGUCCUGCUCUCAGCUGAACCACAAACAGUGGGA